GCCCCACGCAAGGCGUUGUUAAGUCAGAUGGAAUCCCCGGGCUCAGCUGGGACUGCAUCGAUCCUGCAAGCUUGAGUCUCGUAGAGGGGGGUAGAAUCAGGUGUAGCGGUGAAAUGCGUAGAGAUCUGAGGAAUACCCGGUGGCGAAGGCGUCCCCCUGGACGAAGACUGACGCUCAGGUGCGAAAGCGUGGGGAGCAAACAGGAUUAGAUACCCUGGUAGUCCACGCCGUAAACGAUGUCGACUUGGAGGUUGUGCCCUUGAGGCGUGGCUUCCGGAGCUAACGCGUUAAGUCGACCGCCUGGGGAGUACGGCCGCAAGGUUAAAACUCAAAUGAAUUGACGGGGGCCCGCACAAGCGGUGGAGCAUGUGGUUUAAUUCGAUGCAACGCGAAGAACCUUACCUGGUCUUGACAUCCACGGAAGUUUUCAGAGAUGAGAAUGUGCCUUCGGGAACCGUGAGACAGGUGCUGCAUGGCUGUCGUCAGCUCGUGUUGUGAAAUGUUGGGUUAAGUCCCGCAACGAGCGCAACCCUUAUCCUUUGUUGCCAGCGGUCCGGCCGGGAACUCAAAGGAGACUGCCAGUGAUAAACUGGAGGAAGGUGGGGAUGACGUCAAGUCAUCAUGGCCCUUACGACCAGGGCUACACACGUGCUACAAUGGCGCAUACAAAGAGAAGCGACCUCGCGAGAGCAAGCGGACCUCAUAAAGUGCGUCGUAGUCCGGAUUGGAGUCUGCAACUCGACUCCAUGAAGUCGGAAUCGCUAGUAAUCGUGGAUCAGAAUGCCACGGUGAAUACGUUCCCGGGCCUUGUACACACCGCCCGUCACACCAUGGGAGUGGGUUGCAAAAGAAGUAGGUAGCUUAACCUUCGGGAGGGCGCUUACCACGUUAGUAUACCGU
rnacentral:rRNA from 1 species